rnacentral:lncRNA from 1 species
GUCAGGGUCUUUAAAAUUUAAUAAAAAAAAAACAUUUAAAAAGAAUAUCACUAUAUUGACUAGCAUGCAAACUGUAGACAACACCAUCAUAUGUUGUUUAUUUUUUUCUGCAUGAUAGUACAUUUAUAAUAUGUGAUAUUACUUUCCAUUUGCCACACAGGCUAUAUAGUGAGGGUAGAGGUGAAGGCUUACUUUUAUACAAUGCCUAGGUUUCCCUUUAAAUUAAUGGGAGAUACUGUAGAUAUAGAGCUUCAACUGGCUUGAAAUCAAUGUCAUAGAAGCCACUUCAGCUCCCUUUCAUUUCUAUAAAAGAAACAAUGCAAAUGGGAAAGGGAAUUAGCCCAGAACUACAGCCACUUUAUCAUUGUGAAUUAAGUAACAGGAGGAAGGUCAUGACCUUGGAGGAGGAGGGAGGGGGGAAGACUUGCAGAAGUGAACUUUUCAUAUUAACUAUUAGCUUUAAAAUAUAACUUAAAUUUUGAAAUUCACUUAGACUUCUCAAAGUGGCUAAACUGAAAACCUAGCGUUCAGUUUUACUAUUUUGUUUUUACAUUUACUUUGAAUUCUCACAUUAGUAAAUAAUCCUGUAAGUGUUAAAUACUUUUAUGCAGAAUCCACAUAAUGUAUCACUUUAGAAGCAGAAAACAUGUACAAUUAAAUUGUUAGCAGGUUUUUGUCUCCACACCCUGACUCCUCUCCUGCAACUGUCAAAAACAACCUACUGAGCCCUCAGUGAAUACAUUUCUAGCAACCUACUUCAUUACCCCUACUUUUACCCUUUGUGUCACUAUACCCCACUCCCCCUAGCAUGUAUGAUCAUUGAGCAGGGCCCUCCACCUCUCUGUUCCUGUGCAUCAAACUUGUUGGUUACAAAUAAGUGUCUGUUAGUCCACCCAUUUUACAGCGUUACGGAAUUCGCUGAUGCUAUAUAAAUAAAAUAAUAAUCUGACAUUUACUACAAUCUACUAGUAAGAAAAACUGAAACCAAAUUUAAUUUUGUUUUAUUUAUUGAUUUUUUUUUAGUUACAUGUGUGUAUCAACUUUAAAACGUGGUGCUUGGUAGGAGAACCAUAUCUUAUUCUCCGUGUUCAUGUCUAGGAAUAAUUCUGCAGUAACAAUUAACUUUUUUUUCUUGACAAGAUGUACACCACUAUUGAUCUGGGAGUAUUGAUUUCCUAAUAGGAGGUGUUUAUUUAUCUUUUUAUUAUUUAGAAUUGGAUCUGAAAAGGCAGUGUUUGCAUGAAAAUGCCUGAAGGGAAUGAUUAUACUCAUCAGAACAAAUCCAUUACAUUGUACUUGUUUUGGUGACUAUAGUGUCCCUUUAAGAUAAGCACAGCUAUAAUGAUGUUUUCAGUAAAGUUAGUGAGGUUUGCAUUACUUCUAUCCAUUUUUGUCUCCUCUCUCGUUCUUUGUGACCUUUUCCUUUCACACUCAGGUGUUUUGUGGUUUUUUAUAGAAUGGCUCCAUUUUCACCUUUCAAAAAUCAGAUAUAACCUGUGUUAAAGGACCACUUUAGGCACCCAGACCACUUCAGCUCAAUGAAGUGGUCUGGGUGCCAGGUCCCUCUAGUGUUAACCCUGCAGCUGUAAACAUAGCAAUUUCAGAGAAACUGCUAUGUUUAUACUAAGGGUAAUCCAGCCUCUAGUGUCUGUCUCACUGACAGCCAAUAGAGUCACUUCCGCGCUUCUCAAUGUGAAAAUCACAGUGAGAAAACACUGACCGUCCAUAGGAAAGCAUUGAGAAAUGCUUUCCUAUUGGCGGUUUGAAUGCGUGCAUUCUGCACUGACGUCGGCAGGAGGAGGAGAGUUCCCCAGCGCCGAAAGGAGCCGGGCACUGGAGAAAGGUAAGUGUUUUAACCCCUUCAGCCCAGCGGGAGUGGGACCCUGAGGGUGGGGGGACGGACCUAAAGACCCUAUAGUGCCAGGAAAAAGAGUUUGUUUUCCUGGCACUAUAGUGGUCCUUUAACUGUGGUCUUUGCUUCACUGCCUUUAGACUUCCCAGUUCUGCAUGUUUUGUUAAAAAGGAGCAGUUCACGUAUUGAUACAUGGCUUCUAUGCUGUGCAACUAUGCUCAGACUACUCAAAAUUAAAAAAACAUCCUUUUACAUUUUUAACACAUUAUCUCUAUAAUGCAUGAGGGGUCACUGUACAUUUGAGUCUAUUUAAAAUCACUACAUACAUCUGUUAUGGGAGAAGAGUGGAUGGCAAUCAUUUAUUUCAUUAAUUCACUAAAGAUGACCAGUGGUUUUCUGGAUUACAUAAACCACUAGUUGAGAUUUCUCAGUUAUGGCAUUAUCGGUGUUGACGUUGGAGGGCAUCUUAAAUGAUGACUGUGAAAAAAAACACAAACAAAAACUUUCUAAGUUCCCAUUUUUUUUUAUUUUUGCACCCAACAGAUCCUAAUAUCUACAGCAUUGCCAGCCUUUGCUCAUUCGUUUACGGGCUGAACUGCUUAAGCAAACGUAGAAUACUUUCAUUAGAUAUCACAGCACUCCAGCCUCUGCAAACAAGUGUUCAAUUAUUAUUUGUUUUAGACCAUGCUAAUCAUUUAUAUUUUCCAUUUCAACAUUAACAUUUUUUUACAGAAUAUACAAUUUGUUAAAACAGAUCUUCAUAAAAAGACAUCACAACAUAAGGAAUAAGUACAGAACAAUACUAACUUCUUCCCUGAUAAUUAUGACCCAUAUUUUGAAGCCUCAAAUAUUCAUUUUAAUCAUAAAACUUGCACAUAUAUUUUAAUCCUUUAAACAGAACCAAAUACACCAAGGAGCUUCUUCUCUCCCACAAUUAUAUCCAUUAAGUCUGAUAUAGAUAUACAUAUAUAUAUAUCUAUAUCAGACUUAAUGGAUAUAAUUGUGGGAGAG